AAAAGGAGGGCUCACUUUCAAGAAGUUAUUUGGUUGUGUAAUUUAAAGCAACGCGCCUUCUCCAGACCUCGCAGGCGUCGCAGCGCGGAGAAGCCAGCUGUCCCGUGGCAGUGAUUUCGGAAAUGUGCUCAGCCAAGAAGUCUGUAUGGCCACCCUACAGGCCCCUGAUCAGACCCCACUUGAGUGGCACCCGGAUUGUCUUACCAAACUGGCAAGGCUGCUGAAUUUCCAGAGAGUCCUGGAAUAUUCUGGAUGGCUCAAGCCUCCAAGAGCUUGCGAAUGGCAAGGCUCAAGGGAGAGUUGGAGAAUAAUCUGGCAGAAGUGCCCAUCGGCCACCCCCCACUCUGUUUCCCCUCUA